CCCUAGAGGAGCCUGUUCCAUAAUCGAUAAACCCCGAUCCACCUCACCCUCUCUUGCUUAGCCUAUAUACCGCCAUCUUCAGCAAACCCUGAUAAAGGUUACAAAGUGAGCACAAACGCCCUGCCGCCGCAAAAACGUUAGGUCAAGGUGUAGCCAAUGAAAGGGUAAAAAUGGGCUACAUUUUCUACAUCAGAAAACCCCACGAAAACUCUUAUGAAACCUGAGAGUCCAAGGAGGAUUUAGCAGUAAAUUAAGAAUAGAGUGCUUAAUUGAACCAGGCCAUAAAGCGCGUACACACCGCCCGUCACUCCCCUCAAAUAUAUUUAAGGAACAUCUUAACUAAACGCCCUAAUAUUUAUAUAGAGGGGAUAAGUCGUAACAUGGUAAGUGUACUGGAAGGUGCACUUGGAC
rnacentral:rRNA from 1 species